AAACUAUUGUACGCGAUAUUCUAUCAAAAAUGUUCACGGACGUACCAACUGAGUUUAAGUCUAUCCGUCUUGAUAAGCCAACCACCUCUUCACGUCGCCUCAUCAAAAUUAUCUUCGGCUCAAAUAAUGCUGCUUUUAUUCCUCUAACGUUCUAUCACCUCAUUCCUCAUAAUAACGUCAAGCAGCAAUUUAUUCGUUUCUUAUCCGUUUGUCUUAUGUUCCAAAAAUUUCUACUCGCCUAUCAUCCUUUCCAUCAUAGUAUUACUAAGUUUCACUGUUUACUAAUUCACGUGCUUA